CAGGAUUUAUAUCCAGGUCCAUCGGCGUCAUAGGAAAAGGUGCCAGGAUCUAUUGCAACGUCUCAGAGCCAGCGCCUGCAGGUCAAGUCAUCCUCACGCUCUGGUUUAAGAACAACAGUAAGAAGCCGAUGUACAGCUACGACGCCAGUCACGGACGCCCAGAGAAUGGUCAGACAGCAACUUCUUCGGAGAUCGCGCCACGUACGAAGCCUCGGAAGACCCGCCUUACUUGAGCGUCACGGACAUCAAGGUUACGGACGAAGGGAUGUACGAGUGUCGCGUCGAUUUUCGCAGACUGCCGUCGCGCAGGCAUACCACGAGGAUGAAUGUCAUUGUCCCCCCGGCUGCUCCCAAGGUCUUGAGGAACGACAGCACCUACGCAUCGAAUGGCAUCGCCGGACCUUACAACGAAGGCUCCAACGUCACUAUCACGUGCCAAGUGAAAGGAGGAAAGCCACCCCCACAAGUGAAAUGGUGGAGAGAGGGAGAACUCCAGGACGCAGAGUUGGAGAAGAGCAUUGGAGGAGAAUACCGCAACACUCUCAAGAUUGGUCCUUUGACACGCGAGCACCUUAACGCCCAGUAUGUGUGUCAAGUGAGGAACCACGAGCUCGUACCUGCGCUCAGUACCAGCGUCACUCUGCUUGUCAACGUGCCUCCCUUGGAAGUGAAGAUCCUGACCCCCCCCGCCCACGUCGUGGCGGAGAAAGCCCACAAGGUGCAGUGCAGGAGCAGCGGAGGCCGCCCGCACGCCAACAUCACCUGGUGGCUUGACGGGCAGCCGCUCAAGACCUUCAGGAUUGUCAACAAAACCGACGGGACGCUGAGCAUCCUCACCUUCACGCCCACCAAGGAGGACCAAAACAAAGCGUUGCAGUGCAAGGCCGAGUCUCCCGUCUUGCAACACACGCCCCUGGAGGCCGCGAUGAAGCUCGACGUGCAUUCUGCACCCAAGGUGAUAAGUAUCGACAUAGAGACCCCUGACCCCGAUUACAUCAAGGAAGGCGAUAACGUGACCCUUUGGUGUCGAGUGAAGGCGUAUCCCAAGGUUCAGGAAAUCGCAUGGUAUCACAAGGGAAUCCAGGUGCAGCACAAUCUGGACGAGGGGGUAAAAGUGGGCAAGCAGAAGCUGAUGAUGAUCGGCAUAGAGAAGCAGCAGGCGGGCAUGUACUCCUGCCGGGGCACCAACGCCGUCGGGGAUGGUCAUAGUGAGCCGUACAUUCUUGACGUGAAGUACGCCCCCGUGUGCUCCUUCAACACCUCGGAAAAGGUGGGCAUCGCCAAGAACGACCAGGUGAUGGUGCAGUGCCGCGUCGACGCUUCCCCUGGCAUCGUCACCUUCAAGUGGCACCUCAGGACCAAAACCGAGCUCAUCAACAUCCCCACCGAGUGGUACACCGUUCAGGACCGCACCUCGAGUCUCAUCUACAACGUCACGGGCAUCUACACCUACGGGGACAUCCUGUGCUACGCCUCGAACGAGCUGGGGGAGCAAGCCAGGCCGUGCAGCUACACCCUGGUGCCCGCGGGCAAGCCGGAGCCGCCGAGGAACUGCACGGCGAGCAACCACACCGCCGACGCCUUCUACGUGGCCUGCCUCCCUGGCUACGACGGCGGGCUGGAGCAGGAGUUCGUGGUCCUGGCCUUCGACGACAAGAACGAGCGCCUCAUUCGCAACGAGACCGUGAGGGGGGCCCCGGUGUUCACCCUCGAGGACCUGCCGCCGGAGUCCGACUACCUGGUCAAGGUCUACGCGCAGAACGUCAAGGGAAAGAGCGUGGAGCAGGUGCUGCACGGGUUCACUCUGCCCUCCGCUCAGCCAGGCACAGCUGUUCCGGCCACCCACAUCUUCCCCAUCACGCCCAUCUUAGGCGUGCUGAUAGGCGUGGUGGCCGCCCUCGUGCUGGUGGCCGUGGUGGUGGUGGUGGUGAUGAAGCUGCGAGGUGACGCGAGGACCGUCAAGGGCAGGCGCGAAGGGGGCGUGAAGGGGCCUCACUCCCCCCUCCACCCAGCCAAGGACGGAGAUGACUGUCCCGACGUCAUCUUGUGUCGCACGGACUCCACCUACGAGGACGUGGACGGGAUCCCGCAGAAGCUGAAGCACGCCAACAUCUACGAGACGGUCCCUUAUGACACCAAGGACAAGAACAGCAAGAACAGUGAGUCUUGUUGUACUUAUGCCUGCUAGCUACUGUCUGCCUGCUACCCUGCCUUCCAAAAAAUGUAUUUAAUAUAUGUACCUUCACCAGCAUUGUAUCUAAUACCACAGCGCUGACAAGGACGAAGUUGCUUACGCCGAGCUGACCUUCAGCAACGGCAAGAGCAAGUCGAAGAAGAGCAAGAAGUCGGGAGCGAACGGCGCCAUCAGAAGCUCCGAGGAGUCCACCAUCUACGCCACCAUCGACC
rnacentral:misc_RNA from 1 species